GAUGACUUAGCUCAAUGGUUUAGAGCAGUAUCCUGAUACGGUACAGGUUAAAGGUCCGAGUCCUUUAGUCAUCA
rnacentral:tRNA from 1 species